UGAGCGGGGGUUUCUCUCCAUCUCCCCGAGCUGUGAAGGAGGGGUUUCUCUCCAUCUCCCGGGGCUGUGAGCGGGGGUUUCUCUCCAUCUCCCGGGGCUGUGAGCGGGGUUUCUCUCCAUCUCCCCGAGCUGUGAAGGAGGGGUUUCUCUCCAUCUCCCGGGGCUGUGAGCGGGGUUUCUCUUGCACCGCAGGGCUGCAUCCCGCGCUGUUUCCAGGCGGAGCUGCAGUACCACAUCGCCGGUGCCCAUCACACAGCUGCGACAGGGGCUGUCUGUAGCUGUGGGAGUGUUCUGUACCAGCUCCAGACCAAACAGGGCUCAGCCUCCUCCUCCCCUCAUGCAGGGAUGUCGGGAGGAUGAAUCUCAUCAGGUACAGCAUCAUUCAGACACCUCACAGGCGCUCGAUUACAGUAAUAUCUGCCUCAUCCAAAGCUCAUCGGGAUAAAAUAACUAAGGGGAUGCUGCUCCUUGUUUUUAGCGCUUUAUUUCUCUUUUAUUACGUGGGUUAGAGCUUUUGUUCCAAACACAGUCCAAGCUAUCUUAGAAAUCAGCGAUGUGACUGCAUCCUCGUGCAUCAUUUCCUUUCUGUUUCACCCAGUCCGUUCUGUUUCUCUGAGCCUCGUGGCGUUUGCGGCUGUUCCAGCCAGGCUGGAAGCGGAUCCGGGCAGCGGCUGAGUCGCUCUCAAGGUCACACGGGGAAUCUGCCAAGAACAGCACCCCGACCCUCUCGGCUCUCCCAAGCCCACCCUCAACACUCCAGCCUCCUUUCCUUGGGCUAUGAACCUUUCUGCAGCAAGAUUUGAAGCAGAUUCCAGCUUAGAUCAAAAUCUCUAGGAUUCACUUGUGAUUUCUGCUGUAUCAUACAUCUGUGUUCUUGCUGCUGGCUCCUGUAGCACGUUCCCUGCUUUGGUCUUCCCAUCCCUGCCUGGGCUCUUCUGCAGGCAGCUGCUGGGGGUCAGCAAAGGUGUAGGACAGGUACACUCACCUGUCUGACUCACAGCACUUCCCAAAGAUUCACUCUCCAGCCCUUGGAACCUGCUUUGCCAGCCCGGGGAGCAUGGCCAUGGUGUGGGUGACUGCAGUUUGGUAUGGGACAAUCUGUUCCUUCCAUGCAUUGCUCAGAGGUGGAGCCCAUUGAGAAACCCCUUCUCUGCCCCGAUGGAACAGAGGGUUAUGUCACCUUCACGUGGAACCAUGUUCAACUGGAAUGUCACAGAUUUGCCUCUGGGGUCAACCUGAGCUGCAACAGAGCAUGGAGAAGACAGAUUUCAGGUCAGAGAACAGAACAAGCAUGAUCUUAUCCCCAUGCCAGUUCCUCCACAUUGCAAAGUCUCCGCAAGGCAUGACGACACCAUUCCUGCUCUGGGAGGAAGGCACGGACGCCUCGUCUGCAGCGCCUGCCAGAACAAACUGCGAGGAACAAACAGGCACAAGCAAUCUCCAGGUAAGAAUGCAGAGGAGAACAAGCACACUGGCUUUCCCAGAGCAUGGAACAGCCAGGCUCACAGUAUGUACUGCCAAAACCAGAUAAAUGUUCCCUAGAGAAACCAGGCUGUAUUUAUGAGGGACUGCAAGAUCUCAGUGCCCAUCCUCAUUUGGUGCCUGCUCACCUGGGGAGCAGAAGAGGUAUUCUGCUUAAAGUAAUGGAUCCAGUCUGGUGUCCCACCCUGCUGGGCCACGAGGGAGAGGACAGCAUAAGAGAGGAAUUGCAUUUUCCUUCUCCUCACUUGUGACUCUGUGUGGUCAGAUUUUAAUUCUUAAAUUCAACUCCUUGAAUUAUUUCUAUAACCCUUACUGGUGUCACUCUGAGUAUUACUAUUAUCCUUAAAAAUACAUAACCCCCUUUCUCUAGAAAUUUUAACUAUCCAGAAAGCAAGCCCUAUGACUUUGAAAUCAGUACAGAAAAUUUAUCAACAUAAUUGAAAAUAAAACUAAAUUUAGGAUGAAAGCCAUACCUUGCACCCUCAAGGCUUACAAAUUUAGUCUUGUCCAAGGUAUGAAUGCGUGUCCCCAAAAUUAAUAUAAUUCUGAAAAUUUCUUAUGUUUGUCAGACAGAACUAGACAAUUUUAGAGGCAUACAUAUGUGUGCAAAACAAAGUUCUGGUUACAAAGGCACAUCCUGGAUUAGAGAAAACAAAUGUCAUAUCAUACAGAGAUUUCCAUAAGGAUGGGAAUUGCUCAGGAUUGGCAUGGGUCAAGCAUAACUUUAAAUGCUAUUCCUUGAACAAUAUCCAAAGGAUCUGACUCCACCUUUGCUCACUGUAAACUACACAGUACCUAGAUAAGUGCUGAAUACAUAAUAGCCAGAUUUUUAUGUUGAUGGCCAAACCCAAACACCUACAAGUGACUUCAGCUAUUGGGUAUCAAACAAAGAAAUCAAUUUCUAAAGACCUGCUUGGAUAACACAGUUAUCCUUUUCAAUACAUAAAACUUGAAUAGGGCUCUGGGAAAUAGCAGCAUAAAAAUAAUGUCGGUGAUGAAUUUAAAAUGUUCCCCAAACCAGGAAUUAUAAGGAAGUCUUGGGAGAGGUCUUUCCACAGUUUUUAAUUCUGAGUAUUAGAUUUUUCAUAAUCUCCGUUGGUUACUUGGCCACUGCUGUGGGCUAUUGGAUAACUCAUCUGGGCAGCACACAGCUCUUGCCACAGGCCAGGAUCCCAAAAGUGCAUGUGGGACAUCUGUCAUCCUGACUCUGCCCAUGCUGCUCCUAUUUUAUAACUGCAGAUCUCAAACAAUGAACAAUGCUUGAUAGUCAUCAACCUGAUUUCAAAAAUGGAGUAACUGAUGUAAGGAGAUGAAGAAACUCACUCCAUACCACUGAAUCAGUUGAUAUCCAUACAAGGAUUAGACACAUUUCCUCAUUCCUGGUGCCAUUUGUAACUUACCACAAAAGAACACUAAACCCGCUUCUUAUGGCCAUUCUCCGUGCUUCAGCAGACCAUGGCAUCAAAGGACCAGGCAAUAAAUCCUCACUUCUCACAGUUUCCAUGUGGAGACAGGGAAUCCAUCAAUCCCCAAUCUGCUACAAACCCCACAUUUGUGCUUUUGUAGGAAAGUUAGAGCUAAUCCAGACUGUGAGUUUUCUGGAGCAUGUUUAUGUGAAUAAGGCCAAGAAACCAGUUUUGUCUGAUUGCUGUCUCAUGUCCUACAUGAUGUGGUAGCAAUAGUCUGUCAAAAAUUGCUCAGAACUUAUAUAUGUAAAAGUUUUCCCACACCUUUA